rnacentral:lncRNA from 1 species
AUCCCUGCAAAGAAAAACCGAUUGAGCUGCUAGUUUUCUUCCUGGAUGGUUCUGCCCUCUUGACCUGGGCUUGGAUUCCAGGGUAGAAAUGUUAUUCAAAAUGAGGUGACAAAAUGUAAGCAUAUUUAUGGGGGCAGACGCCAAAAGCAAGUGCAUCCGCCUUCAACUGGGGAAAGAAGGUUGCCCCAUUUCUGCCUGAAGGGAUGCCAUGGGAAUCUGACAAUGGACACCCCACAUUUCCUUGUCAGUUGCUUAAAAUCUGCUCAAGGGCUUGCAAAAUGCUCCAGAGCCUGGAAACCUGAGGAUGGAAGAGGCAGCCUGGGCCAAGAAAACUUCGGAGGGCCGUGAUUACCUACCAUCAAGCUGGGUGGCCUCAAGAUGCCACAAGUGUCACCUUGGGAACAUUGGGGGCAGAUUCAGGCUGGAAGGGAAUGGCCCUGACAUCCCACCAUGCAGAGUGCCCUUCUGGAUCAAGCAUCACAGAUUUCACCCUGUCAGACCAUUCCCAACAAUACUUCUUCCACUGGUCCAUUUAAUGAGAAGGAAAAUGGCUUAAACUGCAAUUCUGUCCAGAAGGCUUGGAAAGCUAGCUUCCCUACAGGACCUUCAAAGAUCCAGGACUUCAAGGUGGGAGAUAUCCAAAGGCCAAGAGGCAGAACAGGGGUUGAUUGAUCAACAGAAGCAACCACCUCCAGGCUCCCUGCCUCCAGCCUUGGCUAGAAACUUACUCUAGAGAAACUGAUCCCAAGAGACACAGGCCUGAAAGUGGGGGAAUCACCUGAGUGUUGGCCUAACGAUAGUGGAACACCCAGCCCACUCCCACAACCCGAUGCCAGAAACAUUCCCAGAACUUGGUGCCUGUACAUUCCUGCAGCCAGAAAACCCCACCCACCCCAUAGGAGAUUGGCGACGUCAUUGGAGAGAGAGUUCCCUCAUGAAAAGGCCAGUUAGCCAAAAUUUUAGUUUGACACCAUUGUGAAGCCUGCUCACCCACAGUUCUGUCCACAGAGAGCUUGCAAAUCGCUUUCAAGACCCCUGUUUAAUUACAAAAGGGCAAUCAAGGAGCACCAAGUUUUAAGAAAAUGUGUAACAAGAAUUAAAGGAGACCGGAGUUCCUGUCGUGGCUCAGUGGUUAACAAACCAGACUAGGAUCCAUGAGGAUGCGGGUUCAAUCCCUGGCCUUGCUCAAUGGGUGGGGGUUCCAGCAUUGCUGUGGUUGUGAUGUAGGCCAGCAGCUGUAGCUCUGAUUCGACCUCUAGCCUGGGAAGGGAACCUCCAUAUGCCAUGGGUAUGGCCCUAAAAAAAAAAAAAAAAAAAAAAAAAAAAA